rnacentral:rRNA from 1 species
AUGAACGCUGGCGGCGUGCUUAACACAUGCAAGUCGCACGAUGAAGCCCAGCUUGCUGGGUGGAUUAGUGGCGAACGGGUGAGUAACACGUGAGUAACCUGCCCUUAACUCUGGGAUAAGCCUGGGAAACUGGGUCUAAUACCGGAUAGGAGCGUCCACCGCAUGGUGGGUGUUGGAAAGAUUUAUCGGUUUUGGAUGGACUCGCGGCCUAUCAGCUUGUUGGUGAGGUAAUGGCUCACCAAGGCGACGACGGGUAGCCGGCCUGAGAGGGUGACCGGCCACACUGGGACUGAGACACGGCCCAGACUCCUACGGGAGGCAGCAGUGGGGAAUAUUGCACAAUGGGCGAAAGCCUGAUGCAGCGACGCCGCGUGAGGGAUGACGGCCUUCGGGUUGUAAACCUCUUUCAGUAGGGAAGAAGCGAAAGUGACGGUACCUGCAGAAGAAGCACCGGCUAACUACGUG